AUUCCAGACUCCUACGGGAGGCAGCAGUGGGGAAUAUUGCACAAUGGGGGAAACCCUGAUGCAGCGACGCCGCGUGAGUGAAGAAGUAUUUCGGUAUGUAAAGCUCUAUCAGCAGGGAAGAAAAUGACGGUACCUGACCAAGAAGCCCCGGCUAACCACGUGCCAGCAGCCGCGGUAAUACGUAGGGGGCAAGCGUUAUCCGGAUUUACUGGGUGUAAAGGGAGCGUAGACGGCUGUGCAAGUCAGAAGUGAAAGCCCGGGGCUCAACCCCGGGACUGCUUUUGAAACUGCGUGGCUGGAGUGCAGGAGAGGUAAGCGGAAUUCCUGGUGUAGCGGUGAAAUGCGUAGAUAUCAGGAGGAACACCAGUGGCGAAGGCGGCUUACUGGACUGUAACUGACGUUGAGGCUCGAAAGCGUGGGGAGCAAACAGGAUUAGAUACCCCGGUA
rnacentral:rRNA from 1 species